rnacentral:lncRNA from 1 species
CUAAUUCAAAAAAGGUUAACUUUGUCCAUUAUUGUAAAAAUAUGUUAAAUUAAAAAAAAAAAAGUGUUGAAACCUUAUUUAAUCUGUGUUUGUCAUUGUCGUAUUAGAAUGACCUAUAUACAAUGCAUAUAAUUAUGUGAUUCAAUUUUAACCUUUAAUCCGGUACAACAGAUGAUAUGUGCAGAAUAGGUAGUUAAAUAAUUUUAGAUUCUUUAUUUAAAACAUGUAACAUUAGUAAUCACAGUUUGUUUAAAAGGCGACAUUGUGUUGAAUGCUGUAUGCAGUUAAGGAUGUCUGAUUGGCAUGUUUUGGUAUUUUUGUCAGAUUUUCCAAAUCCUCUGGUUUUAUCCAUUUGAAUGCCUUACAAAAUUUUCCCCAUGAACCCCCAUUUUUCCUUUUUAUAAAUCUUUUAUAUGUAUAAUUAUAACAUGUAUAAGUCAUUUGUUAAAGUCUAAUUUUAUUUAUUUUUAAAUAGUAUUUGAUAACUUUAAAUGGUCAAUGAUACAGCUAUGAAAAAUCUAGAGAGAACAUUUUCCCGCCAAAAUUCUAAUGGCUAAUAUCCCGAAAAGAAGCACAUUGACCCCUAUAAAUUUAUUCCCUAUCAAUACAUACUAGUUUUAUGAAAAGUUAUUUAUUUUGAAACUGAGCAGCGAACAUCCUUAAUGGGUGCUCAUGAUGGUAUGAUAGAAGGUGUAUGGUGCUAAAGUGUAUGGUGUAAGUGUUAUCAAAGUUAAAAACUAAG